rnacentral:snRNA from 1 species
GGAUGUGAGAGCAAUCUGGCUGCAACAUCUGUCACCUGCAUUGAUCACUAGGGUUGAUUCGGCUGCUCUGGCUAGCUAGGUGGCUAUCUUCUGCCUCCCUCACCACUCCAUGUGUGUUCCUCCCAAAGCUGUAUGCUCCACCAAAAAGGACAACCAUCCCCUGAUAGAGGAGGAUCGUUCUUCAGUCAAGGGCAUGUGAGUAGCUAUACUCCCCUGCUAGAACUUCCAAAACAUGCUCUCAAGGUCCAAAUUAAAAAUCUGCAGAGUGUCCCAUUUUGCUCAAAAUAAAAGCCAAAGUCCUGCUAGGUAUGGUGGUACAUGCCUCUAAUCCUAG